rnacentral:rRNA from 1 species
GACGAACGCUGGCGGCGUGCUUAACACAUGCAAGUCGAACGGAAAGGCCCUGCUUUUGUGGGGUGCUCGAGUGGCGAACGGGUGGGUAACACGUGAGUAACCUGCCCUUGACUUUGGGAUAACUUCAGGAAACUGGGGCUAAUACCGGAUAGGAGCUCCUGCUGCAUGGUGGUGGUUGGAAAGUUUCGGCGGUUGGGGAUGGACUCGCGGCUUAUCAGCUUGUUGGUGGGGUAGUGGCUUACCAAGGCUUUGACGGGUAGCCGGCCUGAGAGGGUGACCGGCCAAAUGGGGACUGAGAAACGGCCAAGACUCCAACGGGAGGAAGCAGUGGGGAAUAUGGCAAAAGGGGCGGAAGCCGGAUGAAGCAACGCCGCGGGCGGGAUGACGGCCUUCGGGUUGUAAACCGCUUUCGCCGGUGACGAAGCGUGAGUGACGGUAAUGGGUAAAGAAGCACCGGCUAACUACGUG